AUGAACGCUGGCGGCGUGCCUAAUACCUGCAGGUCGAGCGAACGGACGAGAAGCUUGCUUCUCUGAUGUUAGCGGCGGACGGGUGAGUAACACGUGGAUAACCUACCUAUAAGACUGGGAUAACUUCGGGAAACCGUAGCUAAUACCGGAUAAUAUUUUGAACCGCAUGGUUCAAAAGUGAAAGACGGUCUUGCUGUCACUUAUAGAUGGAUCCGCGCUGCAUUAGCUAGUUGGUAAGGUAACGGCUUACCAAGGCAACGAUGCAUAGCCGACCUGAGAGGGUGAUCGGCCACACUGGAACUGAGACACGGUCCAGACUCCUACGGGAGGCAGCAGUAGGGAAUCUUCCGCAAUGGGCGAAAGCCUGACGGAGCAACGCCGCGUGAGUGAUGAAGGUCUUCGGAUCGUAAAACUCUGUUAUUAGGGAAGAACAUAUGUGUAAGUAACUGUGCACAUCUUGACGGUACCUAAUCAGAAAGCCACGGCUAACUACGUG
rnacentral:rRNA from 1 species